rnacentral:rRNA from 1 species
UACGAAGGAUGCAAGCGUUAUCCGGAUUAUUGGGUUUAAAGGGUGCGUAGGCGGACUUAUAAGUCAGUGGAUGAAAUCUCGAUGCUUAACAUCGAACGUGCCAUUGAUACUGUAGGUCUUGAGUACAGAUGCGUUGGCGGAAUGUGUCAUGUAGCGGUGAAAUGCAUAGAUAUGACACAGAACACCGAUUGACGAAGGCAGCUGACGAAACUGUAACUGACGCUGAGGCAGAAAGCGUGGGGAGCAAACAGG